GAUGAACGCUGGCGGCGUGCCUAAUACAUGCAAGUCGAGCGAAUGGAUUAAGAGCUUGCUCUUAUGAAGUUAGCGGCGGACGGGUGAGUAACACGUGGGUAACCUGCCCAUAAGACUGGGAUAACUCCGGGAAACCGGGGCUAAUACCGGAUAACAUUUUGAACCGCAUGGUUCGAAAUUGAAAGGCGGCUUCGGCUGUCACUUAUGGAUGGACCCGCGUCACAUUAGCUAGUUGGUGAGGUAACGGCUCACCAAGGCAACGAUGCGUAGCCGACCUGUGAGGGUGAUCGGCCACACUGGGACUGAGACACGGCCCAGACUCCUACGGGAGGCAGCAGUAGGGAAUCUUCCGCAAUGGACGAAAGUCUGGCGGAGCAACGCCGCGUGAGUGACGAAGGCUUUCGGGUCGUAAAACUCUGUUGUUAGGGAAGAACAAGUGCUAGUUGAAUAAGCUGGCACCUUGACGGUACCUAACCAGAAAGCCACGGCUAACUACGUGCCAGCCGCCGCGGUAA
rnacentral:rRNA from 1 species